CUCCAGGGAGACUGCCGGUGAUAAACCGGAGGAAGGUGGGGACGACGUCAAGUCAUCAUGGCCCUUACGAGUAGGGCUACACACGUGCUACAAUGGCGUAUACAGAGGGCUGCAAGCUAGCGAUAGUGAGCGAAUCCCACAAAGUACGUCGUAGUCCGGAUUGGAGUCUGCAACUCGACUCCAUGAAGUCGGAAUCGCUAGUAAUCGUGAAUCAGAAUGUCACGGUGAAUACGUUCCCGGGCCUUGUACACACCGCCCGUCACACCAUGGGAGUGGGCUGCACCAGAAGUAGAUAGCUUAACCUUCGGGAGGGCGUUUACCACGGUGUGGUUCAUGACUGGGGUGAAGUCGUAACAAGGUAGCCCUAGGGGAACCUGGGGCUGGAUCACCUCCUUACCU
rnacentral:rRNA from 2 species